UACCUUUGUGGCUAGUGGGGCUUCUCUGCUAAAGCGGCUGCAAGACCAUGAGGGUGACCGAGUGGAGACAUACCGGGAGCUGGAGAGCUUCUUGCAAGGAGACGAUGGCAGUUUGCAGAGCGGUGUCGUGAACCGCCUGAUAGCAGAGGUGUCCAGUGACAUGCGAGCAGCCCAGGGUGUGACAGAUGAUGUGAAGAUGGCUGCUAGCGACGUCCUGGUGGC